rnacentral:rRNA from 1 species
UACGAAGGGGGCUAGCGUUGCUCGGAAUGACUGGGCGUAAAGGGCGCGUAGGCGGUUUGGUUAGUUAGGCGUGAAAUUCCUGGGCUUAACCUGGGGGCUGCGUUUAAUACAGCCAGACUUGAGUGUGAAAGAGGGUCGUGGAAUUCCCAGUGUAGAGGUGAAAUUCGUAGAUAUUGGGAAGAACACCGGUGGCGAAGGCGGCGACCUGGUUCAUAACUGACGCUGAGGCGCGAAAGCGUGGGGAGCAAACAG